CCUCUGGUAGCUCAGUUGGUAGAGCGGUGGACUGUAGAUCCAUAGGUCGCUGUUUCGAAUCCGGCCCAGAGGA
rnacentral:tRNA from 1 species